rnacentral:rRNA from 1 species
GUGGGGAAUUUUGGACAAUGGGCGAAAGCCUGAUCCAGCCAUGCCGCGUGAGUGAUGAAGGCCCUAGGGUUGUAAAGCUCUUUUACCCGGGAUGAUAAUGACAGUACCGGGAGAAUAAGCUCCGGCUAACUUCGUGCCAGCAGCCGCGGUAAUACGAGGGGAGCUAGCGUUGUUCGGAAUUACUGGGCGUAAAGCGCGCGUAGGCGGUUUUUUAAGUCAGAGGUGAAAGCCCGGGGCUCAACCCCGGAAUUGCCUUUGAAACUGGAAAACUAGAAUCUUGGAGAGGUCAGUGGAAUUCCGAGUGUAGAGGUGAAAUUCGUAGAUAUUCGGAAGAACACCAGUGGCGAAGGCGACUGACUGGACAAGUAUUGACGCUGAGGUGCGAAAGCGUGGGGAGCAAACAGGAUUAGAAACCCGAGUAGUCC